rnacentral:rRNA from 1 species
UGAAGNUAAAGGCUGUGGCUUAACCAUAGUACGCUUUGGAAACUGUUUAACUNGAGUGCAGAAGGGGAGAGUGGAAUUCCAUGUGUAGCGGUGAAAUGCGUAGAUAUAUGGAGGAACACCGGUGGCGAAAGCGGCUCUCUGGUCUGUAACUGACGCUGAGGCUCGAAAGCGUGGGGAGCGAACAGGAUUAGAUACCCUGGUAGUCCACGCCGUAAACGAUGAGUGCUAGGUGUUAGGCCCUUUCCGGGGCUUAGUGCCGCAGCUAACGCAUUAAGCACUCCGCCUGGGGAGUACGACCGCAAGGUUGAAACUCAAAGGAAUUGACGGGGGCCCGCACAAGCGGUGGAGCAUGUGGUUUAAUUCGAAGCAACGCGAAGAACCUUACCAGGUCUGACAUCCCGAUGCCCGCUCUAGAGAUAGAGUUUUACUUCGGUACAUCGGUGACAGGUGGUGCAUGGUUGUCGUCAGCUCGUGUCGUGAGAUGUUGGGUUAAGUCCCGCAACGAGCGCAACCCUUAUUGUUAGUUGCCAUCAUUCAGUUGGGCACUCUAGCGAGACUGCCGGUAAUAAACCGGAGGAAGGUGGGGAUGACGUCAAAUCAUCAUGCCCCUUAUGACCUGGGCUACACACGUGCUACAAUGGCUGGUACAACGAGUCGCAAGUCGGUGACGGCAAGCUAAUCUCUUAAAGCCAGUCUCAGUUCGGAUUGUAGGCUGCAACUCGCCUACAUGAAGUCGGAAUCGCUAGUAAUCGCGGAUCAGCACGCCGCGGUGAAUAUGUUCCCGGGCCUUGUACACACCGCCCGUCACACCACGAGAGUUUGUAACACCCGAAGUCGGUGAGGUAACCUUUUAGGAGCCAGCC